GACGAACGCUGGCGGCGUGCUUAACACAUGCAAGUCGAACGGAAAGGCCCUGCUUUUGUGGUGUGCUCGAGUGGCGAACGGGUGAGUAACACGUGAGUAACCUGCCCUUGACUUUGGGAUAACUUCAGGAAACUGGGGCUAAUACCGGAUAGGAGCUCCUGCUGCAUGGUGGGGGUUGGAAAGUUUCGGCGGUUGGGGAUGGACUCGCGGCUUAUCAGCUUGUUGGUGGGGUAGUGGCUUACCAAGGCUUUGACGGGUAGCCGGCCUGAGAGGGUGACCGGCCACAAGGGGACUGAGAUACGGCGCAGACUCCUACGGGAGGCAGCAGUGGGGAAUAUUGCACAAUGGGCGGAAGCCUGAUGCAGAAACGCCGCGUGCGGGAUGACGGCCUUCGGGUUGUAAAACGCUUUCGCCUGUGACGAAGCGUGAGUGACGGUAAUGGGUAAAGAAGCACCGGCUAACUACGUG
rnacentral:rRNA from 1 species